GCCCGCUAAGCAGAACGGUGAUGCGCCUCACUAGUAACCUCGACGCUCCACUUGGAGUCUGAGACAUGCAAUGAGGAGAUAACUGGUUCGACUCCAGUAGUGGGCA